CUCUCAUGGACUUAUCCGGUGUUAUAGGUGCAAAUUGGCCAUUUGUAGUCGGAGGUGGAAUAUUCAGAUCAUAAGGAUGGUUGUCAGGGAAUGAAAAUUCAUCUGCAUAGAAGAAAUAUUGGUUCAUCUACUGAUCAAAGAGACACUUACCGAAACUAUCCACACUAAGGCGGCUCUCCAGCCCUUAAAUUCGGUGACUGCCGAGUUUACUUCUUGUACGGUUAUUGGGCGAAGCAAACAAAAAUGAAGAGGCCCCAAGAAAGAGAAAAUAAAAUCUGCAACUUGGUUGGAGCCUUGGAGGAUUCCCCUACUUUUUACUAGGGUUAGUGCUUAAAUUUCUAGUAUUGGUGUGGGGUUAUACAACAUAAAUGUUUGUACUGUUUCAUUGGUUUGGAGUUCUUCUUUUUGUUUGGUGGCUCAAGAUUUAGACUGCGGUCGUUUUAACAUGGAUUACAAUGAUCGUUUGAAUAUACAUUGUCAACAUAAAUUAUUAAAAUAAUCAUUGUCAGCUUGAUUGAAAAUAUGUAUCGUCAACAUUCGCCUUUAUAUGAAAUAAAAUUGUUCAUGUCACUCAUUGUGUUGGAAUUUUUGUCAGUACGAAGAUAUUAGAGAUUUGUCGUCAAUGCGGGAUUUGACAUUGGAUCCAUGCAAGUAGGACAUCUUUAAAUAAAAAUAAAACUAUUUGUAUCAUAUUUACUAAUGUCGUAUUGCACAAUGUAUUUUUGCAGAAAAGUAAGAUUCAUGUUUUAUAUUCCCCUCUUCUUUUCCUCUCUUUUGUAAAACUUCAAAUUCUAGUUAUUUAAUUUUAUGUAAAAAUCCAAUCCUCUUUUUUUUUUUUUUUUUCUUCUUCUCAAUCAUAACAAGAAAUAGUUUGAGUAACUCUGUUAGAAUUUCAUCCCUUAUUUUUUUUACGUAAAACCAUUUUGAAUAGAAGUUCAAAUGGUGUUACACAAAAAGAUUAACACUUAAUAAAUGUGUGUACAUUUCAUUGGUUUGGAAUCCUUCUUUCUGGCAUUAGAUUUAGACCGCUGCCGUUCUGACAUGACAGUUACAAUGAUUGUUUGAAUAUACAUUGUCAACACAAAUCUUAAAAAUAAUCAUAGUCAACGCGAUUUAAAAUAUGUAUAGUCAACACUCAUCUUUAUGUAAAACAAAAUUUUCCGUACUUUACUAAUUACGUCACUCGUUAUGUCAA